AUUGAACGCUGGCGGCAGGCUUAACACAUGCAAGUCGAGCGGUAACAGGUCUAGCUUGCUAGACGCUGACGAGCGGCGGACGGGUGAGUAAUGCAUAGGAAUCUGCCCGAUAGUGGGGGAUAACCUGGGGAAACCCAGGCUAAUACCGCAUACGUCCUACGGGAGAAAGGGGGCUUCGGCUCGCGCUAUCGGAUGAGCCUAUGUCGGAUUAGCUGGUUGGUGGGGUAAUGGCCCACCAAGGCGACGAUCCGUAGCUGGUCUGAGAGGAUGAUCAGCCACAUCGGGACUGAGACACGGCCCGAACUCCUACGGGAGGCAGCAGUGGGGAAUAUUGGACAAUGGGGGCAACCCUGAUCCAGCCAUGCCGCGUGUGUGAAGAAGGCCUUCGGGUUGUAAAGCACUUUCAGCGAGGAAGAACGCCUGGUGGUUAAUACCC
rnacentral:rRNA from 1 species